AGGAAUUGUUGAGGAGUAUCAGUUGCCUUAUUAUGACAUGGUGCCUUCAGAUCCUUCAAUAGAGGAAAUGAGGAAAGUUGUUUGUGAUCAGAAGUUCCGACCAAGUAUCCCAAACCAAUGGCAAAGCUGUGAAGCACUCCGAGUCAUGGGGAGAAUAAUGCGUGAGUGUUGGUAUGCCAAUGGGGCAGCCCGCCUAACCGCUCUUCGGAUUAAGAAGACUAUUUCUCAACUUUGUGUCAAAGAAGACUGCAAAGCCUGAUGAUGAGAAUUUUGUUAAAAAGAAAUCUCUCAUGGCUUUCUUUAUGUGAAUUUUUUUGUCUUUGUGUUGUCAUUGUUUUUAUUGUUCUACCUCAGAGAUAAUGCAGUACAGUAUUUAAGUGCCCAAAGGCACCAUGAAAAAAUAAUUCUAAAGUCAAGCAUAGGCCGGAAUUGUCUUCAUUCACUCCCCAUGUUAUCUUUAAUUUUAUUUUGAGAAACAACACAUCAACUCAUCUUUUUAUUUUAUUAUAAAAGUAUAAAAUAAGCUAAACUUAAUAAAAGUUAUCAAGAUUUUCUUUUACUUGAAAUGAAUAGAAAAGAAAAUGUGAAAGCCCAUGUGUUUUUUUUCCCUAAGAUGAAAACAUGUUCAUUAAAAAUGUCAACUAGAGUAUGCAAUAUCUUAACCAAACUUUAGAUCAUAUAUGGUUCUAUUUUUUAAAAAAAUUAAAUGGGAUAUUUUAAGAAGUAAACAUUGCUAUGAACUUUAGGAUGCAUAACAUGGAAAAGUGGAGCUGCUUAGUUGGAAGAUGGAAGUGGGUUCAGAUCAUUUACUUGCUUUCUCUUCCCCUGUACUCCCCCUUUACAAUCCACCUCCUCAGCAGCCCCUCAGGCAAAUAGUUUGAAAGUCACUAAGAUUGUUACUUUCCCUUAUUUACAAAUAAGACACUUGACAUCUUGAGACAUUGAGAAAUGUCCCAACGUCAUAUAGCUAGUGACAGAGCUGGCACUAGGUCCAAAUCUUGAGAUAAUCCACACAGUAGAGUUAGCUGGCUUCCUACCUUCCCUUUAAUUCCUUUAGUAUUUUUCUCCCUAUACAGAAAUAACAUCUGUCAUGAUAUUUGUGGUUUAGUCAAACAGAAUACAAACCAAGUUAUUUUGCAGAAUCAUAAUGGACCUGUAUGAACUCUCAAGAAAAUAUCCACUGACAUAUUUUCCUCUUGGAAAUUUUAUAGUCACCCUGCUUGUUAGUUACUUUCUGAACGAUCCAUUGUCAGAUAUGUCUUUAAGAUGCAUUUCAGAGGUCCCUAUUAUUUUUGUACACAUACAUUUAGAAAGAAAACAGAGAAGGAAGGGGCUACUAGGAGAUAUUCUAAGGGAAAUUAAGAAAACUCUUAAAUGAAGUAUAAUUUCAAAGUCAAUAGAGGGUAUGAAUAACUAUGAAGAGAUCUUCCCCUAUCCUUUCAAAAUGAGCAUGGGUACAGAAGGCUCAUGAUAAUUUUGCCUUUAUUCUACUUCCUGUGGAGACAGAAAUGAUGAAUUCUGAAUAAUACAUGGAACAUUAAGUAUUUCCUUCCACUCUGUAAUUCUGCUUUGGUGAAGGAAGAUUUAACAUGGUAUCUUUUGUUGUACUAGAAUGUUGUUCCCGAAAUUCUGUCUCUUGGAAUGGUCUUCUGAGAUGAUCAAAGACCAAAAGUGCUCUUUGAUAGAUUCUUAGAAAGUCAUACCACAUAUUAGCAUAUCAUGUGUUGUAAGGAGUCUAGCAGUAAAAAAAAGUGUUACUUGAAUUUCUUUAAGAUGGAUUUCCCAAAUUAUUUGACCAUGGAACUCUUUUUAUAAAAACAGGGGAAACCUUUUACUAGCCCACAUUUUCGUUUCUACAAAGCAUAACUUGAGUACCAGUGUUCUAAAGGCUAUACCUAUGUAUUAUCCCAUAGAGCACAAUCUAGUGAUUAUACUUCAUUCCACUACGGAAAUAUGUUACUGAAUCCAUCUUCAUUUGACUGGGAUGAGAUAUCAAAGGCAAAAAUCUGGCAUCUGUGGUUUGCAUAUACGUUUGCUCUCAUUCAUGCAGUUACCUAUUCAUUAAAAAAUAUGGGGCACUCCAUAUCGUCCUUGCCACAAUUUUGGAUCCAACAAGAAAAUUAAAAAAUGUAAAGGUUCUGCCCUCAGGGAUUUUAAAGUUUAAUUUGGGAAUAGGAACAGGGAUAUGGUUGUGUGGGGGAAGUAAACUGACAAGUAGAUAUAAUCCAGAGUAGGAUGUCUUAAAUUCUAUAUGAAUUUGAUUAAUUCUAUAUUUGUGGGCUUCCAAAAUUACUCUCAAUUUCCAACAUAUUUAGAAAGUAUCUUUAUUUGGUUAUUCCAGACAAUCUAAAUUAUAUAGUCAAUUUAAGUGAAGGUAUUCUAAAAAGAGUUUAUGUGAAGGGGUAAUCUUGCUGUGUCUGUUAUCUUGAUUUCACAUAGUUUGUUUCUACAUAUAUGAGAAUGAAACUAUUUACUAUGGUUGUAACUAUAGAUUCAAGCAAACAGGAAUGAUAUUUUGCUCUUUUAUUCACUUAUGUUGAGUGAAUAUACUUAUUUAAUUUUUAAGAGAAGAUGUUUAAAAUCUCCAUUUUCCUUGAUAUUUAUAAUCUAUUUGAAGGUAUCCAAAUAUAAUUCCUUAUUUUUAUUGAUUCAACUUUUACCCUAGAGAAAUCUGUACCUUUUAAGACUUUUUGUUUGUUUGUUUCUGUGUUGGUUAACCAUAACUCCUAACUGAAUAGUCUUAUAUUUCAAUUUCCACACACAUUUUUAUAGAAAGGGCAUAGGUUAACAAAAAUGAUAAGGAAAAGUUAAAAGUCCUAAUUUUUCCUUAACUCUUGGCAUGAUUAGAAAUAAAAAUGCUCACUCUAAAAAGUAGUUUAGAGCAUAAGGCAAAAUUACUGUAUAUACCAGUGCUGUUUAACUUUAUUUCUUUUUUAUGGAGUCCUACUCUGUAAUAUUUAUUUCUUUUGAAUUGUGUUACAAGCAAAAAAUAUUCUUCUUAGGCUCAUAGUGUUAGUGUUCUUUGCUCCUUUCAAAUAUUUUGGCUUUGGGUAUAACGUAAAGCUUAGGAAAAUGCUAUUUAUGAAAUUUUAGUACUGUACAAGUGGUGAUGGGAUUUAUAUGCAGCAUCACUUCCUUAAACUAAGGGACACAUCAUUUAUUGUCAAUAUUUCAGCAUGAACUUGUUGCCUUAUAAGCUAAGCGUUUAAGUGUGUAAUUGGUACAGAUUCUGUUGUAUGCUUUCUUCCGUCUAAAAUAUUUGGCAUGUCACAUCUAGAAUUCUUAAUUUAUGUUCUGACUUGAAAGUUAAGUGAAACAUGACUGUGUCAUGCACUAUUUUAGGUAUAGCACUUGCUUCUCAUCUUUAUACUUUCAAUUAACUUUGCAUUUUAAAUUUCCAUAAUUAUAUGAAAAUAGUAACCUGAUUGCAGUGUCUGAAGACUUCAGAAUCAGCCUUUAUUUUAAAAUGAAAAUCUGCAAUAGAUCCAUUAGAUUAGAUGUUCCACAAAAAUUUAUUAUUUGUAAUACUUCUACUUUAGUAGAAUUAUUAAAUAAAACAAAACAAAUCUUCUUCUAUUAUGUUGGAAUUUUGCCACCAUGUGACUUAUUAGGGCAGAGAAAACUCAGGGCUAUCUUAGAGUUUACACAAAAGAAUGAGAGAACGUACUUAGCAAAUCAUCUAAAGGCAGGGAGCCUAUGUUUGCCAUAUACAAAGUUCAACUUAAAAUUACUUAGCAGGGAAUAUUUAUGAUUAAUUAUUUUAAAUAAAUAUGGAAAUAUAAUUCAUUUAAGUAAAUUUAUUUAAAGUGUGAACAUUUUAUUUCCCAUCAGGAGAUUCAGAAAGUAGCAAAUGACUGAAGCUGAUGGCAGUUGCUUUCUUCAAUAGUUGUUCCUUUAAAUAAAUUUACAAGUACAACAUUUUAAGUUAUUUGGAAAUAUCUAAGAAUUAGUAUCUUAAGAUGUUGUCAUUGUGAUUUUUGAAGAUAGUGUAAAUAUCUUUUGUGAAACACACUACUGCUGUGUUUGAUAAUGCUUUAUAUUAGUUCCCUUUACAAGCUAAUAACUACAUGGACUUGAUGCAUUAUUUAGUGAAGACAGUAAUCCCUUUGCUCCUGAGGGCUUCUUCUAAACAGAAAAAAAAAUGUCAGUGGGGAUGUACAAAUUUCAUUAAAAUAUUAAUAUUAAUAGAAUUUCUAUAGACAGUUUUCAAAGUGUUUUAAUACAAAUUUUCAGAUUUUUUCCCUCUAACUUUUCUGUUUCAUUAUUUUUCUCACCUCCUUUUAAAAUAUUCCCUCACUGCCUCUCAAAAUUAUCUUUAGUCUCUAAAUUGAAAAAAAAAA
rnacentral:lncRNA from 1 species